rnacentral:rRNA from 1 species
UACGUAGGGGGCGAGCGUUGUCCGGAAUCAUUGGGCGUAAAGCGCGUGUAGGCGGCCCGGUAAGUCCGCUGUGAAAGUCCAGGGCUCAACCCUGGGAUGCCGGUGGAUACUGUCGGGCUCGAGUCCGGAAGAGGCGAGUGGAAUUCCUGGUGUAGCGGUGAAAUACGCAGAUAUCAGGAGGAACACCAAUGGCGAAGGCAGCUCGCUGGGACGUGACUGACGCUGAGACGCGAAAGCGUGGGGAGCAAACAGG